UGGGGAAUCUUGCACAAUGGGGGCAACCCUGAUGCAGCGACGCCGCGUGAGCGAUGAAGCCCUUCGGGGCGUAAAGCUCUUUCGACCGGAACGAUAAUGACGGUACCGGGAGAAGAAGCUGCGGCUAACUACGUGCCAGCAGCCGCGGUAAUACGUAGGCAGCAAGCGUUGUUCGGAGUUACUGGGCGUAAAGAGUGCGUAGGCGGUUUUCUAAGUUCGGUGUGAAAUCUCCCGGCUUAACUGGGAGGGUGCGCCGAAGACUGGGAAGCUGGAGUGUGGGAAAGGCAGGCGGAAUUCCUGGUGUCGCGGUGAAAUGCGUAGAUAUCAGGAGGAACACCGGCGGUGUAGACGGCUUGCUAGACCAUUACUGACGCUGAGGCACGAAAGCGUGGGUAGCAAACG
rnacentral:rRNA from 1 species